AUGCCAGCCCUGGGGAAGGUGGGCCCCCGCCCGGGCUGUCUCCGCGGCGCCUUCUCCUCGGGGAGGACUGGCCGGCUGGGGAGUGAGUCCGGCUGCGGGGGAGCGAGGGGGGGCGAGAAAGUUCUGCCCCUGGGGCUGGAGGGAGCGCGAGUCUCCACCGCCGGCGCAACACUUCUCCUCGGGGGCUCCGCCACCUGGGCAGCGGACGAAUUCAGCCCGCUACUCGCCCCCACCUCCUCCUGCGGCUGUCUGGUCCGGAGGGGAGCUCGGGCGCCUUCUUCCUGGUGCCGCGGACCCGAGCUGGAAGCUCCAGGCCCGGGGGGAGGGGGCGAGGGUGCCCGGUGCCGGCCGCCGUGGGCUCUUGGCCCCCUCCCCGGAGUGGCUGGUGGGUGGAAGCUCGAAGGGACUCUCUUCCUCUCCCUUGAGGGUCCCCCCUACGAGCUGCGUCCUCUCCCCGCCAGGCUCCCUGGGGCGAGGGCUAGAGGGUUCAGUGCCACCCGGUGCCCGGGUCCAAUCUUGCUGAAGUCGCGGCUUUCCUGGAGGGCCGGGGCAGGGAGGGGGUGAGAACCGAGAGAGGAGACUCGCCCCUCCGCAGCGUCGGCUGUUCCGCUGGCGGCUGCUGGACUUGCACGGCCACAGCUUCCAGGACGCACAGGAGCAGAGAGGAGCGCUCGCACGCAGGCUCCCGCCGCCCCCAGACCAGGCCGGCACCCGGACCGCCGCGGCUGGCGGCGCUCACGUUGGCUGCAGGGCACUCGCGCGGCGCCUGGGCACGGGUCGCAUCCCUUCCCGCUUGCACUCGCCCGGAAUGUGGGGUUGUGAUUGUUACUCUACGUUCCGGAGGCGCGACUCGGCGCUCCCGCUCGCGCUGCGGCUCGCGCUGUCCCCGGCUUGGCCGCGCGGGAUGCCGCCCAGGCGGAGCGCUGACGUCACCACCAUGCUCUGCACCAGUUCUUCCCCCCCCACCCCCCCUUUACACUUCCUCUGUCUGUGGAGCCCACUUGUUGCUCGGGAAAGGCGCAUGCGCGGCAGGACGCCCAGAUUCCUCCCUGUCGGCCCCUCCUCCGCGCCUCCGCCCUCCCCUCCCCCCUCGCCGUGUGUGUACAACAGCUGAGACUCGGCGAGCUAAUGCUGCAAGUCCAGGGUUGGGGGGGUGGAAAUUAAACAAGCCGAUGACCUUUCCUUUCCUCGCCCGGCUUUCCCGAGUAAAAACGCAUUUAAAAACCACAAGCGCAUUUCCGAUCCCGCUUCCCACCCGACCUCGGGCAGUGAAUUUAAAUGUCCCGUUUCAAAUUUUCGCUGUGAAUUUCAUAUAGAGUAUUACCCAUUUCAUCUGCAAUCAAACCUUUCCUCCCCCCCGCCCCCCGCCCCGGCAUGGCUAUUACAUUCAUUGCUAACAACUAAUGCUGAAACACCUGCAAAAUUCGCUGUUUUCCAUUCUUCCAGAAACUGCCUUUUCGAUUUGUUUUUGUGUACUAGUCUAGGAACCUGAGCUUCAACGACGGAGCUAAAUGAAUUCCGGGUGAGCUACCCCUCCCCCCAGCCGCAGUCUAAAAAUUUUGGCUGAAUGUCUAAAGAAGCUACGAGCACCCGGAGGCCUUUAAGGAAAACAGUCAACUGGCUGCACACAGCUGCAGUUGGGGGCAGGGAGGGAGAGCUGCUGGAGAGGCCAAACAGGUGAGUGGUUUUUACGGGUUUGAUAAAAGAAGGUGGGGCAGCAUUUAAUAAUACUGAUAUCUCUUUGUAAAGCACAGCACAAUUUACAAAGUUAUUUCUCACGUGCUGUGAUUUCAUUCCAUGGUGCCAGGAGGCUAAGCAAGUCCAUGAUUUCUUUUCUGCUUACAAGAUCACUGCUCCUCAUAUUGCUUAUUGCCGAACAGAUACGUUGCUCUAGUUGGGGCAAUUCAACUGAUUCUUUUAAAUAUUGGGUCUGGGGUGUUUUUUGUUGUUGUUACUGUUGUUAUUUUGCCUUUUCCCCCUCAUUAAAAACUGAGAUAAUCCUGGGUAGGGAUGGAGAAAGGGAGGCUAUAUAGGAAAUGCAGGUUCUGGAGACUGGCAGACCAGGAUGGAAUUUCCUCUUCAUCACUUACAGUAAGACCUCACUUAACAUCAUCAAUAGUUCUAUGACCUUAAGCAAAACCAGUUUACCAUAGGCUAAUUGUUAUAAAUGAGAGUUGGGUUCCUACAGUAUUUCUUUAUCAACAUCACUGUUAUAAAGAAAUGACCUUGAAAGCAAUGUCUUUAUUGGAAGACCUGCUGUACUGGCUUUGUGACCUUGAACUAGUUACUUAUCUUCACAUAACCACACAUCUGCAAAAUGGGAUAAUAGCUCCCAACAUAUUAAAACUGUUUGAAAUUUCAUUUUGUUUCUUGUCACAAUAGGAGGUAAGUCCACUGAGGCUUGCUGUGAGCCAGACGCUGGUAGGUGGUUUACUUGUAUCAUCAUUAAACCCUCAAUAUUAUCUACAGGUAGAUUCUAUUAUUAACGCUGAUUUCUAGGCUCAGAAAAUUAAGAGGUUAAAUAACUUGCUGAAGGUCACGUGGCCAUUAGAGAGGGAGCUGAGAUCUGAAUCCAGUAAAUCUAAUUUGAGAUGUGACUUUGACAAGCUUGGGUUCUCAGAGGUGAUUUGGGAUGCUCAAAAUUUCCAUCAGCCCCUCCCUUAUUCUUUAUUACAUACAAUCUCCUGUAAAGUACUAUGCAAAUACACCUUUAUAGCCAACUCCAAUCCUCCCCUUCCAAACAGAUUGAGCCACUGAGUUCUUCCAAAUACAGAAGUUGUGGAUCUGCCACUGCCACAGACUGUAACAUAAAUCACCAUACAGUAUGCAGAGCACAGUGUCAGGCUCAUAGGAACCUCUUGCUGGCCUUGCACAGAAAACCCAGCCAUGGCUAUGAACUUGGGGGAACAUGCCUUCAUUUCCUACCCACAGCAGUCUCCCUGCCCUCCAGGCCAACCUACUUGAUCACGAUAAAGAUAACUGCAGCUGCCAGGGAUGGGGCGCUACUUUUCACACUCUCUGCAAGGUAGAUUCUCCAACUCUCCUACAGAUCCAGCCCCGCUCCAGGCCAGCAAGACCUGACAGGCCACCUGCCUGCCGGGGACUCUUGUAAGUCACUCCCUCUGCUUGCAGGGAGGCAGCGCAGCCUGAGACCCAUGGACCCUCUCCGGGCAGCACCUCCCUGCCUGGGCCCAGGGCUGGGCUGGUUUCUUUUCUCCAAGCUGCCCAGGUCUGCAGGCUGGGAGGUGGGAGAGGGAGGUAGGCCCAUUCCAGAGGGGCUUGCUGCCCUCCUGUGGCCUGGUGCCAUGGCUGCCACAACUCCCUCCUCCUGCUGUCCCUGCUAUGCCUGGGCUCCAUCGGGGAGAGGGCAGGGAAGAGAAAUGUGGAAGUGGGAAGGUGAGAGAAAAGAAGUGCAGAAAGAGGGGUGGCCCACCCAGCAUAGCUCAGUGGUUGAGCAUCCGACCUAUGAACCAGGAGGUCAGGGUUCGAUUUCCGGUCAGGGUACAUGCCGGGGUUACAGGCUCCAUCCCCAGUGUGGGGCAUGCAGGAG